rnacentral:rRNA from 1 species
CCAAGGAGUCUAACAUGUGUGCGAGUCGUAGGGUCUGCUUUUAAAACGAGCUAAACCCGAUGGCGAAAUGAAAGUGAAGGCCGCCCCUUCGGUGGGGAUGCAGAACGGCCGAGGCGAGAUCCUAAAAAAGUCGGCCUCCCUUUUCCCUCUCUCACGGGGGGGAUUUGCGGAGCCACCGGCGAAAUUUUUAAAAGAAACCGGACAUGGUAGGCACGCCGUCGGUCGUCAAAAAACCGUCGGCGGUCCGGAGGCGCAUCGCCGGCCCGUCUCGAUCGCUCCGAUCUUCCUUCCCGUUCUCCGCUCGCCGUUUCGGCUUUCCCGUCUCGUCACCUCUUUCGCGAGAGGCCGGGGCCGGGGUCGUCGCAUUCGGUUGGGGUUCGGGGGGGUCGAAAGGAAUCUCGGUCGAUGAGGCGGAGCAAGAGCACACACGUUGGGACCCGAAAGAUGGUGAACUAUGCCCGGGCAGGACGAAGCCAGAGGAAACUCUGGUGGAGGUCCGCAGCGAUUCUGACGUGCAAAUCGAUCGUCGGACCUGGGUAUAGGGGCGAAAGACUAAUCGAACCGUCUA